rnacentral:rRNA from 1 species
UUAAGGUGGAACAAAUGAUUGGGGUGAAGUCGUAACAAGGUCCCCUAAACAUUUUGAACCGCAUGGUUCGAAAUUGAAAGGCGGCUUCGGCUGUCACUUAUGGAUGGACCCGCGUCGCAUUAGCUAGUUGGUGAGGUAACGGCUCACCAAGGCAACGAUGCGUAGCCGACCUGAGAGGGUGAUCGGCCACACUGGGACUGACCCACGGCCAACACUUCUACGGGAGGCAGCAGUAGGGAAUCUUCCGCAAUGGACAAAAGUCUGACGGAGCAACGCCGCGUGAGUGAUGAAGGCUUUCGGGUCGUAAAACUCUGUUGUUAGGGAAAAACAAGUGCUAGUUGAAUAAGCUGGCACCUUGACGGUACCUAACCAGAAAGCCACGGCUAACUACGUGCCAGCAGCCGCGGUAAUACGUAGGUGGCAAGCGUUAUCCGGAAUUAUUGGGCGUAAAGCGCGCGCAGGUGGUUUCUUAAGUCUGAUGUGAAAGCCCACGGCUCAACCGUGGAGGGUCAUUGGAAACUGGGAGACUUGAGUGCAGAAGAGGAAAGUGGAAUUCCAUGUGUAGCGGUGAAAUGCGUAGAGAUAUGGAGGAACACCAGUGGCGAAGGGCGACUUUCUGGUCUGUAACUGACACUGAGGCGCGAAAAGCGUGGGGAGCAAAACA